rnacentral:lncRNA from 1 species
AUGCUGAUAAAAAAUGAGUGACAAAAAAAGACAGAAAAGUUAUCAUUACGUUUAUCAUUAUGUUAUAAGAAAGAAAUCCACUUUAGUUCUUUAGUUCUUAAGGAGCACAAAAGAAAGGAUAAAAGGGGAGGGGCCGAUUGAGAAAAGAAAAGUAGAGAAAAUUUACAAGAUAUGAUCUAUCUGUAUCUAACGUAUCAACUCCAAAUAUUGUAAAUAAAAAG